rnacentral:misc_RNA from 1 species
GGAUUCAAUACAUCGGAAUCGGAUAAGCCUCUCUUUCCUAACCUCACUUCCUCUCCUUUUCUUCCACCAUUGUUCAAUUCAACAACCCAAUGCCAAUGCCAAUUUCUCCUUUGAUUUUCUCUCCCUUUUCGCUAUGAUUUAGAAAAAUUUUCCUUUCCCGCAAAAUUUUCACCCUCUCUUCCCAUUUCUGAUCUAUAGAAUAAAUGGCAGCAGUCACUUCAGUCUCCUUCUCUGCAAUUGCCCAAUCCUCUAAUGACAGAAAGGCCUUUGCUUCCUCCACGCGUUCUUUCGCUUCCAAUUUCGACACUUUCAGAUUCCGUUCUGGUUUUUCUUCUCAGUAUAUGGGCGUUAGAGCUUCAAAUUCUACUUCUCGCAUGGUUAUUCAUUGCAUGUCCACUGCUACAGAUGUGCCCACUGUAUCUGAGACCAAGUUCAAUUUUCUUAAGGCGUACAACAGACCAAUUCCAAGCAUCUACAAUACGAUUCUGCAGGAGCUGAUUGUUCAGCAACAUUUGAUGAGGUACAAGAGGACUUACCGUUACGACCCUGUGUUUGCCCUUGGUUUUGUUACCGUGUAUGAUCAACUCAUGGAAGGAUACCCAAGUGAUGAGGAUCGAGAUGCCAUUUUCCAAGCAUACAUAAAAGCAUUGAAGGAGGAUCCCGAGCAAUAUAGGUUUGUCUUUUGUGGGAACUGUUUUUCUUUUCUCUACUUUAAUACUUUUACCUAGUUUAAUUUUCAGUGAGGCAAAUGUAAAUAAUUGUUCUCAAAAUGAAUUUUUUGAGGUUCCAAACAUAAUUAUGUAAUUGCAAAUGGAUCCCAAAAAUUUUAUGGAAUUCAUUCAUUCAUUCUAAAGAAGCUCUUUAAGCAUUAAAUAUAUUAGAUAGAAAAACUUGCUAAUUCUGUAUGUUGUGGAGUACAGAAUUGAUGCAAAGAGUCUAGAAGAGUGGGCUCGAUCUCAGACUGCCACUUCAUUAGUUGACUUUUCAUCCAGAGAAGGAGAAGUUGAGGGGAUACUAAAGGACAUUGCAGAGAGGGCUGGAAAUGGGAGUUUCAGCUACAGCCGAUUCUUUGCCGUUGGGCUAUUUCGUCUUCUUGAGCUUUCAAAUGCUACUGAGCCAACGAUAUUGGAAAAGGUUGCAUCUUGCAUUACUUCCAUAUAAUUAUUGAAAUGUGUUGAUUUCUAGCUGUUGCAUUAAUAGAUUUGUCCAAAAUGCAAAGAAUUUAUUGUUGAUUCUGUUAGCCACGACAAUUAUAAGCUGUUAACUUUCCUAAGCCUCUAAGAACUUUUUUUAUUUUUUUCAUAUGUUAAAUAUCCACCAUUUUUUAUGGAGACACUUUUUUUUUUAGUAUGGCAUAAUCAAGCUCCAUUCAGAUUAUUAUUUCAUUAUGAAAUUAGGAUUGUGGGCCAAGGAUUUAUCCAUUGGUACUUGUCAGGAGUCCUUUGUUCCAAGUUAAAGACACAACAAACAAAGAUUUUCUUACUAAUGGGUUGACAAUUUUCUUUCAAUUGCUAUGGAAUAGCUUUGUGCAGCCUUAAAUGUAAAUAAAAGAAGUGUGGAUCGGGACCUUGAUGUGUAUCGCAACCUCCUUUCCAAACUGGUUCAAGCAAAAGAGUUGCUCAAGGAGUAUGUGGACAGGUAUAGGGAAAAUUAAUUCUUCUUGCUUACAUUUGGUUUCUUUUACUUCAGAACACGGCAUGGAAUUUUACUUCAUUCAGCUGGUUUUGCAAACAUGAUAAUUUUCAUAAGCCUGGCAUUCAGCAGUUAAGCUGCAACUUGUUAAAUGGGAAAAUUGAUAAGAUGACAAUUCUUACACUGCAAUGUGAAAAUUGUAAGAACUUAGAUUGCUAAUGUUAGCCUAGUGGGAGAAAGAUUUUGAGCAUCACACUUAAAGAUGAAGAUUUAAUACGAUGGAAUGAACAAUUGUAUGCCUUUUCUACACCAGGUUAAGAAUUCUCAAAAUGCCAUAACCCAUGGCAUUUAGAAGUGAGAUUCAAACUGUUCUGUUUCUCUUGGAUAUAACAUGGCAGUUUAUUACUUUCAUUUCUUUUAUCUUGUUUAUGGUUCUUGUUUCCGAAAUGUUUUUGGCUUUCAGGGAGAAGAAGAAACGAGAAGAACGGGCAGAGUCACAGAAGGCUAAUGAGGCUGUCAAAAAAUGUCUGGGAGAACCCCACUAUGUGAGCUAGUGAUACAGCCAGUAGCAUUUCCCACCACACUGAUCAAAUCCUAUGAAUCUUCAACAUAUUGAUUUUUCUGUGUCUUUUGUUGAGGUAGAAUAUGAGACUGUCUGCACUAUUCAUCAGCUCUUGUUCUGCAUAUGGUGGUUACGACAUGUUCUAGUGUCUUCACUUCACCACGUGCAUAUACUAGUGUCUUCAUUUCACCACGUUUAUAUCUUUGCUCCUUUUUGUUAUACCGCAGAUGUAGAAUUAUAUUUUUAAAUUAAAUGCCAUCUGCACUGCAGUUUCUUGGGUAUUAGCCCGUAUCAGGUCCU